rnacentral:tRNA from 1 species
GGAGAGAUGUCCGAGUGGUUGAAGGAGGCGGUCUUGAAAACCGUUGUGCCGCAAGGUACCGGGGGUUCGAAUCCCUCUCUCUCCG